UGGGGAAUAUUGCACAAUGGGGGAAACCCUGAUGCAGCAACGCCGCGUGAACGAAGAAGGCUCUUGGGUCGUAAAGUUCUGUUCUGAGGGAAGAAGAAAGUGACGGUACCUCAGGAGAAAGCCCCGGCUAACUACGUGCCAGCAGCCGCGGUAAUACGUAGGGGGCAAGCGUUGUCCGGAAUUACUGGGUGUAAAGGGAGCGUAGGCGGGAUGCCAAGUCAGCUGUGAAAACUAUGGGCUUAACCUGUAGACUGCAGUUGAAACUGGUAUUCUUGAGUGAAGUAGAGGUUGGCGGAAUUCCGAGUGUAGCGGUGAAAUGCGUAGAUAUUCGGAGGAACACCGGUGGCGAAGGCGGCCAACUGGGCUUUAACUGACGCUGAGGCUCGAAAGUGUGGGGAGCAAACAGGAUUAGAUACCCUGGUAGUCCACACUGUAAACGAUGAUAACUAGGUGUGGGGGGUCUGACCCCUUCCGUGCCGCAGCUAACGCAAUAAGUUAUCCACCUGGGGAGUACGACCGCAAGGUUGAAACUCAAAGGAAUUGACGGGGACCCGCACAAGCAGUGGAUUAUGUGGAUUAAUUCGACGCAACGCGAAGAACCUUACCAGGUCUUGACAUCCGGCUAACGAAGCAGAGAUGCAUUAGGUGCCCUUCGGGGAAAGUCGAGACAGGUGGUGCAUGGUUGUCGUCAGCUCGUGUCGUGAGAUGUUGGGUUAAGUCCCGCAACGAGCGCAACCCUUAUCUUCAGUAGCCAGCAUUUUGGAUGGGCACUCUGGAGAGACUGCCAGGGAUAACCUGGAGGAAGGUGGGGAUGACGUCAAAUCAUCAUGCCCCUUAUGAGCAGGGCUACACACGUGCUACAAUGGCGUAAACAAAGAGAAGCAAGACCGCGAGGUGGAGCAAAACUCAGAAACAACGUCCCAGUUCGGACUGCAGGCUGCAACUCGCCUGCACGAAGUCGGAAUUGCUAGUAAUCGUGGAUCAGCAUGCCACGGUGAAUACGUUCCC
rnacentral:rRNA from 1 species